UCCGGCAUGGUGUAGUGGCUAGCAUUUCCGCCUCUCAUUCAAAGUUUCAACGCUUGAAUCAAGCCGCGGGAGACCGGGGUUCAAUUCCCCGUACCGGAA